AUUGAACGCUGGCGGCAGGCCUAACACAUGCAAGUCGAACGAGUGGCGGACGGGUGAGUAAUGUCUGGGAAACUGCCUGAUGGAGGGGGAUAACUACUGGAAACGGUAGCUAAUACCGCAUACCAUCGGAUGUGCCCAGAUGGGAUUAGCUAGUAGGUGGGGUAAAGGCUCACCUAGGCGACGAUCCCUAGCUGGUCUGAGAGGAUGACCGGCCACACUGGAACUGAGACACGGUCCAGAUUCCUACGGGAGGCAGCAGUGGGGAAUAUUGCACAAUGGGCGCAAGCCUGAUGCAGCCAUGCCGCGUGUGUGAAGAAGGCCUUCGGGUUGUAAAGCUCUUUCAGCGAGGAGGCGUUACGCGCAGAAGAAGCACCGGCUAACUCCGUGCCAGCAGCCGCGGUAAUUC
rnacentral:rRNA from 1 species